rnacentral:rRNA from 1 species
AUUGAACGCUGGCGGCAGGCCUAACACAUGCAAGUCGAGCGAGCGGCGGACGGGUGAGUAAUGUAUGGGGAUCUGCCUGAUGGAGGGGGAUAACUACUGGAAACGGUAGCUAAUACCGCAUACCAUCAGAUGACCCCAUAUGGGAUGUGCUAGUAGGUGGGGUAACGGCUCACCAAGGCGACGAUCCCUAGCUGGUCUGAGAGGAUGAUCAGCCACACUGGGACUGAGACACGGCCCAGACUCCUACGGGAGGCAGCAGUGGGGAAUAUUGCACAAUGGGCGCAAGCCUGAUGCAGCCAUGCCGCGUGUAUGAAGAAGGCCUUAGGGUUGUAAAGUACUUUCAGUGGGGAGGCGUUACCCGCAGAAGAAGCACCGGCUAACUCCGUGCCAGCAGCCGCGGUAAUUC